GACGAACGCUGGCGGCGUGCUUAACACAUGCAAGUCGAACGGUGAAAGCGGAGCUUGCUCCGCUGGAUCAGUGGCGAACGGGUGAGUAACACGUGGGCAACCUGCCCCUCACUUCGGGAUAACUCCGGGAAACCGGGGCUAAUACCGGAUAUGACCUCCUUGGGCCUCCUUGGCGGUGGAAAGCUUUUCGGUGAGGGAUGGGCCCGCGGCCUAUCAGCUUGUUGGUGAGGUAGUGGCUCACCAAGGCGACGACGGGUAGCCGGCCUGAGAGGGUGACCGGCCACACUGGGACUGAGAUACGGCCCAGACUCCUACGGGAGGCAGCAGUGGGGAAUACUGCACAAUGGGCGCAAGCCUGAUGCAGCGACGCCGCGUGAGGGAUGACGGCCUUCGGGUUGUAAACCUCUUUCAGCACCGACGAAGCGCAAGUGACGGUAGGUGCAGAAGAAGGACCGGCCAACUACGUGCCAGCAGCCGCCGUAA
rnacentral:rRNA from 1 species